AGCCGACCUGAGAGGGUGAUCGGCCACACUGGAACUGAGACACGGUCCAGACUCCUACGGGAGGCAGCAGUAGGGAAUCUUCCGCAAUGGGCGAAAGCCUGACGGAGCAACGCCGCGUGAGUGAUGAAGGUCUUCGGAUCGUAAAGCUCUGUUGUUAGGGAAGAACAAAUGUGUAAGUAACUGUGCACAUCUUGACGGUACCUAACCAGAAAGCCACGGCUAACUACGUGCCAGCAGCCGCGGUAAUACGUAGGUGGCAAGCGUUAUCCGGAAUUAUUGGGCGUAAAGCGCGCGUAGGCGGUUUUUUAAGUCUGAUGUGAAAGCCCACGGCUCAACCGUGGAGGGUCAUUGGAAACUGGAAAACUUGAGUGCAGAAGAGGAAAGUGGAAUUCCAUGUGUAGCGGUGAAAUGCGCAGAGAUAUGGAGGAACACCAGUGGCGAAGGCGGCUUUCUGGUCUGCAACUGACGCUGAUGUGCGAAAGCGUGGGGAUCAAACAGGAUUAGAUACCCUGGUAGUCCACGCCGUAAACGAUGAGUGCUAAGUGUUAGGGGGUUUCCGCCCCUUAGUGCUGCAGCUAACGCAUUAAGCACUCCGCCUGGGGAGUACGGUCGCAAGACUGAAACUCAAAGGAAUUGACGGGGACCCGCACAAGCGGUGGAGCAUGUGGUUUAAUUCGAAGCAACGCGAAGAACCUUACCAAAUCUUGACAUCCUUUGACCGCUCUAGAGAUAGAGUUUUCCUCUUCGGAGGACAAAGUGACAGGUGGUGCAUGGUUGUCGUCAGCUCGUGUCGUGAGAUGUUGGGUUAAGUCCCGCAACGAGCGCAACCCUUGAACUUAGUUGCCAUCAUUCAGUUGGGCACUCUAAGUUGACUGCCGGUGACAAACCGGAGGAAGGUGGGGAUGACGUCAAAUCAUCAUGCCCCUUAUGAUUUGGGCUACACACGUGCUACAAUGGACAAUACAAAGGGCAGCGAAACCGCGAGGUCAAGCAAAUCCCAUAAAGUUGUUCUCAGUUCGGAUUGUAGUCUGCAACUCGACUACAUGAAGCUGGAAUCGCUAGUAAUCGUAGAUCAGCAUGCUACGGUGAAUACGUUCCCGGGUCUUGUACACACCGCCCGUCACACCACGAGAGUUUGUAACACCCGAAGCCGGUGGAGUAACCAUUUUGGAGCUAGCCGUCGAAGGUGGGACAAAUGAUUGGGGUGAAGUCGUAACAAGGUAGCCGUAUCGGAAGGUGCGGCUGGAUCACCUCCUUU
rnacentral:rRNA from 1 species